rnacentral:rRNA from 1 species
GACGAACGCUGGCGGCGUGCUUAACACAUGCAAGUCGAACGCUGAAGACCUGGCUUUUGUUGGGUUGGAUGAGUGGCGAACGGGUGAGUAACACGUGAGUAACCUGCCCUCUUCUUUGGGAUAACGCCCGGAAACGGGUGCUAAUACUGGAUAUUCACUGAUCUUCGCAUGGGGGUUGGUGGAAAGGUUUGUUCUGGUGGGGGAUGGGCUCGCGGCCUAUCAGCUUGUUGGUGGGGUGAUGGCCUACCAAGGCUUUGACGGGUAGCCGGCCUGGGAGGGUGACCGGUCACAUUGGGACGGAGAUACGGCCCAGACUCCUACGGGAGGCAGCAGUGGGGAAUAUUGCACAAUGGGCGAAAGCCUGAUGCAGCGACGCCGCGUGAGGGAUGGAGGCCUUCGGGUUGUAAACCUCUUUCGCUCAUGGUCAAGCCGCAACUGUGGGUUGUGGUGAGGGUAGUGGGUAAAGAAGCGCCGGCUAACUACGUG